CCUUAUCGUCUGUCUGCUGAAUGUGUAGCAAGGCCAGACCUGGUUAGUACUUGGAUGGGAGAUCACCUGGAAAUCCCAAGGGCUGUAAGCU
rnacentral:rRNA from 1 species